GUGUUUCCUCUGGCUCCUUUUCUGAUGGCUGAUUGAGUGCUCAUCUGUUACCAACCCAUGGAGACUGCCAGUCGGUGGAGAAUCAGAAUUUGUCCGCGCUCAGCAGCAUUUUCUCCCAGAGACAAAAGCAGGAGGGUGCUUGGAGCCUGGGUGUGGAAGCUUCUGCAGGAGGGCGGAGCGGGAGGAGGCCGCGGCCCGCCCAAGGCGGAGGCCGGCUCCGGGCUGCGGUUCCCGGGCGCGGGUCUUCGGACUUGGCGGCUGCUUGCUGUGGCGUCUGAGCCCAGUGCUCAGCGCGCAUCGUGCCAGACUCUGCAGAAAAGCUCUCUGCUAUGGCCUGGGAAAGCAGAAGAAGAUGGCCCAAGUCCUUGGGCCCUGCACCCACAUGGGAGACCUGGAAGAGGCUCCUGGCUCCUGGCUCUGGAUCGGUGUAGCUCCAACCAUUGCGGCCACCUAGGGAGUGAACCAGCGGACAGAAGACCUCUCUCUCUGUCUCUACAUCUCUCUGUAACGCUUUCAAAUAAAUAAAAUAAAUCUUAAAAAAAAAAAAACUCAAAAAAACAUGGCCAAAUGCCAAA